CCGCCUGGGGAGUACGGUCGCAAGAUUAAAACUCAAAGGAAUUGACGGGGACCCGCACAAGCGGUGGAUGAUGUGGAUUAAUUCGAUGCAACGCGAAAAACCUUACCUACCCUUGACAUGUCUGGAAUGCCGAAGAGAUUUGGCAGUGCUCGCAAGAGAACCGGAACACAGGUGCUGCAUGGCUGUCGUCAGCUCGUGUCGUGAGAUGUUGGGUUAAGUCCCGCAACGAGCGCAACCCUUGUCAUUAGUUGCUACGCAAGAGCACUCUAAUGAGACUGCCGGUGACAAACCGGAGGAAGGUGGGGAUGACGUCAAGUCCUCAUGGCCCUUAUGGGUAGGGCUUCACACGUCAUACAAUGGUCGGGACAGAGGGUCGCCAACCCGCGAGGGGGAGCCAAUCUCAGAAACCCGAUCGUAGUCCGGAUCGCAGUCUGCAACUCGACUGCGUGAAGUCGGAAUCGCUAGUAAUCGCGGAUCAGAAUGUCGCGGUGAAUACGUUCCCGGGUCUUGUACACACCGCCCGUCACACCAUGGGAGUGGGUUUCACCAGAAGUAGGUAGUAACCGUAAGGAGGGCGCUUACCACGGUGGGAUUCAUGAC
rnacentral:rRNA from 1 species